CCUCAAUUCAGGUUAAUUCACUUGGAAUUGAAAAGGCAUUCGCUAUUCAUAUCUGAAUGACACACAACAAUGAAGGAGUAAAUGUUUCAGUUUAAAAUGAUCUUUUGAAAGGUUCACAUCUGAAGAACCUUUCUGUUUCACAAAAGAUUCUUUGUGGAGAAAGAAGGUUCUUCAUAUUAUAAAAAGGAAAGAGGGACUGCAUAAAAUGUGGCAAAGCAAUGGUCCCUCCUUAUAUAUUUGAGAAAAUUGGUGGAAAAGUAUCAUGCAAGUCCUGG
ensembl:lncRNA